GCCCGCUUAGCUCAGUGGUAGAGCGCGUCACUAGUACCUCCUGCGAAAGGCAGACGGCCGUCAGGCCAUGACGAGGUCGGUUGUUCGAUCCAGCCAGUGGGCA